rnacentral:rRNA from 1 species
UCCGUAGGGGGCAAGCGUUGUCCGGAAUCAUUGGGCGUAAAGAGCGUGUAGGCGGUCCGGUCAGUCGGUUGUGAAAGUCAAGGGCUCAACCCUUGAAUGCCGGCCGAUACUGCCGGGCUAGAGUCCGGAAGAGGUGAGUGGAAUUCCUGGUGUAGCGGUGAAAUGCGCAGAUAUCAGGAGGAACACCGAUGGCGAAGGCAGCUCACUGGGACGGUACUGACGCUGAGACGCGAAAGCGUGGGGAGCAAACAGG